rnacentral:rRNA from 1 species
UACAGAGGGUGCGAGCGUUAAUCGGAAUUACUGGGCGUAAAGCGUGCGUAGACGGUUAUGUAAGUCGGGUGUGAAAGCCCCGGGCUCAACCUGGGAAUUGCAUUCGAGACUGCAUAGCUAGGGUGCGGAAGAGGGAAGCGGAAUUUCCGGUGUAGCGGUGAAAUGCGUAGAUAUCAGGAGGAACACCCGUGGCGAAGGCGGCUCUCUGGCCUGUAACUGACGCUGAGGCGCGAAAGCGUGGGGAGCAAACAGG